UCCCAGCUGACACAACAGACAAAUGAACAGCAACACCAAAAUGUCACAGUAAGGCCACAUUUCUGUGAAUGAGCGUAAGAGGAGGAUGGCUGACGGCACCCAGUGCAGCAGGAUUGCUCAGCGGAGGGGAAAUGCUGAGGUUUUCCUCAUCGACAGCAGAGGACAGCGAGGCAAGGCGAUGCUGAGAGACGCUUUGUUUGUACCGUCAUAUCCCCAGAGCAUCUUCUCAGUGAAGGCGGCGACUACGAGGGGAGCUACGGUUGUCUUUAAAGAAGAUAAAGAUGUCCUGAUAACCAGAGACGACAGGAUAUGUUGAAGAAGAGGCUGACUCGUGAUUUCCCUCGGCUGGUGUUUCACAUCCCCACCAAGCGCAACGUCUGCAAGCUGGUUUUUGUGGAGACCCUUUCAACAGAUACACUCGUGGACAUGCUACCUUAUACAUCAGGUGCGGAAACCACACAGUCUAGUGGGGUGAGCCAGACAGACAGCGAGAGUGAAAAAGGGACAACAAAGUGCCAAACGACACCAGACCACACAAGGACACUAUAUACAGCAGCGUUGUUCUUAAAAAGACAGCUUAGUGACACUCCUGGCAUGUCUUGCCCAUGGCCUCCCACUUCUGAAGAUUUGAAUGUCACUGAAGCACAAACUGUUGUACCCCUUGGACAAUACAAUCUAGUUAGCUGGAUUAUAGGCGCCACUGAGGAGCCAACACUGGAUCAUUAUGUCAACAUUGCCUUGAAAGUGUUGUCUGUUUGUCAAGACAUUUUGUACCUUGCUUCCGAGGGCCGUAAGCAGACACCUUAGUCCUUGAGUUUAGGUUUAACUGUUCGAUAUUUAACAGGAUCAUCACGCGUUGUGUCACUGCCAAUGGAAAAAGUUUAUCUCUGAAGGAACAACUAAGGAAGCACUUGUCGAAUUCCUGUAUGUUGCAUAGAAAAAUGCAGACCUUA